rnacentral:rRNA from 1 species
AAUGAACGGGAACUGGCCAGAUCGCCAACCCAAUGUGAACGUUACCAAACUGUUGCCUCCGGCGGGGUCACGCCCCGGGUGCGUCGCAGCCCCGGAACCAGGCGCCCGCCGGAGGAACCAACCAAACUCUUUCUGUAGUCCCCUCGCGGACGUAUUUCUUACAGCUCUGAGCAAAAAUUCAAAAUGAAUCAAAACUUUCAACAACGGAUCUCUUGGUUCUGGCAUCGAUGAAGAACGCAGCGAAAUGCGAUAAGUAAUGUGAAUUGCAGAAUUCAGUGAAUCAUCGAAUCUUUGAACGCACAUUGCGCCCGCCAGUAUUCUGGCGGGCAUGCCUGUCCGAGCGUCAUUUCAACCCUCGAACCCCUCCGGGGGAUCGGCGUUGGGGAUCGGGACCCCUCACACGGGUGCCGGCCCCUAAAUACAGUGGCGGUCUCGCCGCAGCCUCUCCUGCGCAGUAGUUUGCACAACUCGCACCGGGAGCGCGGCGCGUCCACGUCCGUAAAACACCCAACUUUCUGAAAUGUUGACCUCGGAUCAGGUAGGAAUACCCGCUGAACUUAAGCAUAUCAGGGGGGGGAAGAAAAAA